CGCUGUGGUCCCAGGCUUCCCACACUUCAGUGUUUAAUGACUCUGAGGCCGCCUGCACAAAGGAAGUGUGCCCCAUUGCACAAAGAUUGAGUGACCAACCCCCCCUUCGAGCCCCACUAACAACACAUGCACGCACACACCCAGGAAAACAGAGCUGUCAACAGGGCUUCCAGGCACACCAUCUGGAUGGAUUGUAUGCCAUUGUCGGCCGAUCAAGCGCGGGAGAUGUUUACCGUGAGAAUUGGAGAGGCUGAAAUAGAGACAGAAAGUUAAAUAAGAAGAAUAGGGAGUGUGUGUGUGGAGGGUGGGAAACUUUCUGGAUAGGAUGAUGAACUUUUUUUAAGAAUCUGUGAAUAAAAAGGUGCAAAACUCUUACACUGUUUGACACGAAAAGUUUAAGAAAUUGAGAAAAAAGUGAAAACCACUUCACUUUCUCAGCUUGUUGCAACAGAAAAGGGAUUAUUCUAUAUUAAAGACUAAUAUAACAGGUACUAACAACACUUAGAUGCAGAUCCAGUCUGUGAUGAUGCUUUUUGUUGCCCUCACAUAGAUACAUUUUUGGAAAUGUGAUCUAAAUAUUUAGGUUGCCUAUCUGGAAACUCUGCCCACCAAUGGACGUCUUUCUCCUCCAGGAAGAACGUCCUCAGACAGAUGUUGUCCUCCACGUUCCCACCACAUAUCAUCCCAGUGGAAACAAUAACAAGGAAAUCUCCCUCAACAAGGGGCAAGCAAUGGGCCCCUCCCACCUGUUUGUUUGGAUUGGGGCCAUUGUACCCCAAUGAAUUCAACUAAUUCAUUCACAUCCUAUUGUCAUAAUGCUGCUUUGUGAUUGGCCAAACACUGUGAGAACCAACAUCACAUUAAAUCAGUGGGAAAGUUGGCAUAAGUAUAUAAAUGAGGGAGGUCUCUGUGGGUAAAAUCAUAACCCUGAACGUUUUCUUGUAACCCACACGGGCCUGGACUCACGGGACGCCAUCCGACUGCAUAUUCGCCAUGAGGGAUCAACACACAACCCUGUGUAAGAUGAUGAUUUUGGAAAGGAAGUGCACAGACAGAGCAGUGAGGCUCCGCUCCACGUUAGAGAGCCAUCUAAGCACUGGAAUGAGCAGCUCUGACGUGUGGGACAAGACUGUCUCCUUUUUCACAGUGAAGAAGGCCUUCAUUUUCCAUAAUGGCUACACCAAAUCCUCCAGAGAGGCCAUGAGGCUGUUCCCCUCACCUUCUGAGGAUGUGUCGCCUUUGUGUUGCCAGUAAGAAGUGCACCGAAAGAGGGUUGAAAUACGAAGAGGAAAACAAAAUCUAGGCAUUUUUAUAAACUUUUUUCUCCAAAUGUCUUCUUAAGCACAAAUGGUGGAAAAGAUGGGAGUUCUCAUUAACUGUGACUACCUGCACCGUGAUCCUAUUGGUCAUUGCACAGGCCCUAGAAAUGUGCAUGUUAUGCCUUAAAUCUAAGUACUUCUUAGAACUUUAAGAUCAUGUUAUUACAGUUUUAUUAAACUGAAAGUCAUAUUCCUUUGUUUAAAGGGUAAAAGUUAAUUUUAUGCCAAUGCAUAUUUUGUAAAUGUUUAAGAUUUUGUCAGUCAUGUAUAAAAUUUGUUGCUGAAAGCCAUAAGUGAAAAGUGCAAUGUGCUUUCCUGUGCAAUUUUAAGUAAAAUGACAUGUUUUCCCAU